rnacentral:sRNA from 1 species
UUGCUAUGCGUAAUCGGCAGGAUGAGAACCUGUAGCAGGUUCGGGCCGAGCGCAGCGAGACAACGUUGCCGCAGGCAACGGCCCGAAGGGCGAGGCGUAAGCCGAGUUAUCCUGCACGACCCACCA